rnacentral:rRNA from 1 species
AUGUCUACUAGAUGUUCGAGGUCUUGUACUUUGAGUAUCGCAGCUAACGCAUUAAGUAGACCGCCUGGGGAGUACGGUCGCAAGAUUAAAACUCAAAUGAAUUGACGGGGGCCCGCACAAGCGGUGGAGCAUGUGGUUUAAUUCGACGCAACGCGAAGAACCUUACCUACUCUUGACAUCUACAGAAGAACGCAGAGAUGUGUUUGUGCCUUCGGGAACUGUAAGACAGGUGCUGCAUGGCUGUCGUCAG